AAGAUUUUCUAUGCUUUCUUUUUUUUUUUUUUUAAAGGUUUAUUUAUUAUUAUAUCUAAGUACACUGUAGCUGUCUUCAGAUGCACCAGAAGAGGGCAUCAGAUCUCAUUACGGGUGGUUUUGAGCCACCAUGUGGUUGCUGGGAUUUGAACUCAGGACCUUCAGAAGAGCAGUCGGUGUUCUUAACCACUGAGCCACCUCUCCAGCCCUAUGCUUUCUUAUUAACAGAAUGAGACAAUUAUUCAUCAGUAGACCAGGACUUACUGCAAUUGCUAAUCUUUUUUGGGCAUACCUAAAUUAUAUGUAUCAAUGCUGUGUUCCUUAGGAUCUGUUUGUUUCGGGACUACCAGCACCCAGGAGGUCACUUUAUUCAGAAGAGUGACCUUUCAUUUUCCUGAAGCCUUCAGGUGUAAUAUAAUCAGUACACAGGAAAAAUGUAGUAAGGCUUGGGUGCCUGUCUUGUGUGGGAUGCCUUAUCUGUAUUACUCUUAAUUUAAAUAGGUGCUAGUACUUCUUUGUGUGUAUGCACAUGCAGGGCAUGCUAGGGAUUGGACCUAGAGCUUAGAAAGGCAUACGAGGCAAGCUCUCAACCAACUGAGCUACACCCAUAGCCAUUUGUUUUUGCAACAGAGUCCCUCGCUGUGCAGAAUCCCAGGCCCACCUGCAAUUAUACCCACCUGCAGUCCUCUCUGUCUCUAUCUUUAUAGCUGGUUCCGAGAUCCCUGCUGCUACAGGGAGAGACAGAAGCUGUGGAGUGUCUGUAAACACCACACCCAGGUGUCAGGAUUAUACUUCAUUUCCUUUGACUUACAGACCAGGUUGCUAGACUCUAGGAUAGUAGAGGGGCUCCGGUGGGACACAUUUGCCAUCUGUAUGUACCUCUCCUCCUUAUUUCCCCUAUAUCCUGAGUGGCACAUUCUUUUAGAAUUCCCUCCCUUCUCUCUGCCACAGAAAGCAGAGGUAGACUUACUGGUGUUAGGGCCUGAGCUCUCUGAGCUGCUCAUGCUGCUGUCUGUGUUUUUAUGGUAUUAAUAAACUUCUGGCCCAAAAGGAAAAUUCACCUGUUUUCCCUUGAACCCCCAAACUGAAGACCUUUCACUAAGUAGUCCAGGUCUUUCCUCAUGAUCAUUCUGCUUCAACGUCAAACACUGGAAGGACAGGUAUGUGUCACCACACUUGACUAUCAAUGGCUUUGAGACAGUUAGGAUAGCAGUUCCUAUGUGGUGUAGCCUAGAUUUGAGCCAGCUGUCCCCAAAGGUGAUGUUUACCACAGCAUUGCAGAAGAGGUGAUGAUGGGCCAGCGGUUAGACCACUAACAGUAAUACUUCCCCUCUGCUACAGGGAUGGGCACAGUCUGCCCGGGAGCCUCCUGGAAGCUAGUGCUGCCGCCUAAUGGCAUGAACACAGGGGUUAUGAACUACGGAUGAAAGGCGGCAAAGGUUAGUUUCUGAACUUAAGAAUCGCUCCUAUACUGAAAUAUUUGCUGCUAUGUGCUAUGCACAAGGUCAUGCUGACCCUGUGGCAGGCACCAGGUCUGCUUAAGAGUGGCAGGAGAGCAACAAGGCCAUGCCAUGGAGGAGACUGACGUCCCAGAACCAGCUUAUUUGGACAGUGUGUAGACAGACAUGCAUAGAAUCACGAAAAUCAAAAUAUUUAUUUUGUUUUCUUGCACACAACACUUAAACAUUCCCAUUACAGCAACCCUGCUCUCCGGGAGCUUACAGUCUCUGAGACAGUCAACGUGAAUGUGGCCCCAGUAAUUAAGGCAUUACAUCAAAUGCAGACCUGUUGUUUGGAUGCAUCUUUUGAAGAGGCUGGAAAGGGCAGGCACAAGAUUAAAUGGCAUGAUGG
rnacentral:lncRNA from 1 species